rnacentral:tRNA from 1 species
GCCCGUGUAGUUCAGAGGUAGAACAGCGCAUUCGUAAUGCGCAAGUCGUCGGUUCGAAUCCGACCGCGGGCU